UACGUAGGGUGCAAGCGUUAAUCGGAAUUACUGGGCGUAAAGCGUGCGCAGGCGGUGAUGUAAGACAGGUGUGAAAUCCCCGGGCUUAACCUGGGAACUGCAUUUGUGACUGCAUCGCUGGAGUGCGGCAGAGGGGGAUGGAAUUCCGCGUGUAGCAGUGAAAUGCGUAGAUAUGCGGAGGAACACCGGUGGUGUAGACGGCUCUCUGGACCGUAACUGACGCUGAGGCACGAAAGCGUGGGUAGCAAACAGG
rnacentral:rRNA from 1 species